rnacentral:misc_RNA from 1 species
AGCAGCCGCGGUAAUUCCAGCUCCAAUAGCGUAUAUUAAAGUUGUUGCAGUUAAAAGCUCGUAGUUGAAUUUCGGGAUUGACGUGAUGGUCAUGCCUUAAGGGGUAUGAACUGUUACUGUUGAUUUCUCACCUUCUGGAGAAACUUGAUGUCCUUUAUUGGGUGUCUUGCGGAUCCAGGGCCUUUACCUUGAAAAAUUGAGUGUUUAAAGCAGGCAUUUUUGCUCGAAUACAUUAGCAUGGAAUAAUAGAAUAGGACGGCAUGGUUCUAUUUUGUUGGUUUCUAGGAUCACCGUAAUGAUUAAUAGGGAUAGUUGGGGGCAUUAGUAUUCAAUUGUCAGAGGUGAAAUUCUUGGAUUUAUGAAGACUAACUACUGCGAAAGCAUUUGCCAAGGAUGUUUUCAUUAAUACAAGAACGAAAGUUAGGGGAUCGAAGACGAUCAGAUACCGUCGUAGUACUUACCAUAGACUAUGCCGACUAGGAUCAGACGAUGUUUAAUUUUUAUGUACUUC